GACGUAGGAUGCAAGCGUUGUCCGGAAUUAUUGGGCGUAAAGAGUUCGUAGGCGGUUAUCUAAGUCUGGUGUUAAAGCCCGAAGCUCAACUUCGGCAUGGCAUUGGAAACUGGGUAGCUAGAGUGUGGUAGAGGUAUCGGGAAUUCCUGGUGUAGCGGUGGAAUGCGCAGAUAUCAGGAGGAACACCGAUGGCGAAGGCAGAUCUCUGGGCCGUAACUGACGCUGAGGAGCGAAAGCAUGGGGAGCGAACAGG
rnacentral:rRNA from 1 species